GUGGGGAAUAUUGCACAAUGGGCGCAAGCCUGAUGCAGCGACGCCGCGUGCGGGAUGACGGCCUUCGGGUUGUAAACCGCUUUUGACUGGGAGCAAGCCCUUCGGGGUGAGUGUACCUUUCGAAUAAGCACCGGCUAACUACGUGCCAGCAGCCGCGGUAAUACGUAGGGUGCAAGCGUUAUCCGGAAUUAUUGGGCGUAAAGGGCUCGUAGGCGGUUCGUCGCGUCCGGUGUGAAAGUCCAUCGCUUAACGGUGGAUCCGCGCCGGGUACGGGCGGGCUUGAGUGCGGUAGGGGAGACUGGAAUUCCCGGUGUAACGGUGGAAUGUGUAGAUAUCGGGAAGAACACCAAUGGCGAAGGCAGGUCUCUGGGCCGUCACUGACGCUGAGGAGCGAAAGCGUGGGGAGCGA
rnacentral:rRNA from 1 species